rnacentral:rRNA from 1 species
AGCGAACGCUGGCGGCAGGCCUAACACAUGCAAGUCGAGCGGCAACCCUUUUGGAGCCUGCGGCAGCCGGGUGCGUAUCGCGUGCGAACGUGCCCUUCGUUUCGGACUACCUUUGCGAAACUUGAGCUAUUACCGGAUACACGCGAGUGCAGCAAGGUUUAUCUGCCGAAGGAUCGGCCCGCGUCUGAUUAGCUAGUUGGUGAGGUUACGGCGCACGAAUGCGACGAUCAGUAGCUGGGCUGAGAGGAUGGUCAGCGACACUGGGACUGAGACACGGCCCAGACUCCUACAGGAGGCAGCAGUGGCGAAUAUAGGACAAUGGGGUCAAUCCAGAUCCAGCCAUGCCUCGUGAGUGAUUACGUCCUGAGAGUUGAAAAGCUCUUUUCUCCGGCACGAUUAUGACGGUACCCGAAGAAUAAGCCCCGGCUAACUUCGUG